GACGAACGCUGGCGGCGUGCUUAACACAUGCAAGUCGAACGGAAAGGCCCUGCUUUUGUGGGGUGCUCGAGUGGCGAACGGGUGAGUAACACGUGAGUAACCUGCCCUUGACUUUGGGAUAACUUCAGGAAACUGGGGCUAAUACCGGAUAGGAGCUCCUGCUGCCUGGUGGGGGUUGGAACGUUUCGGCGGUUGGGGAUGGACUCGCGGCUUAUCAGCUUGUUGGUGGGGUAGUGGCUUACCCAGGCUUUGACGGGUAGCCGGCCUGAGAGGGUGACCGGCCACAUGGGGACUAAGAUACGGCCCAGACGCGUACGGGAGGCAGCAGUGGGGAAUAUUGCACAAUGGGCGGAAGCCUGAGGCAGCAACGCCGGGUGCGGGAUGAAGGCCUUCGGGUUGUAAAAAGCUUUCGCCUGUGACGAAGCGUGAGUGACGGUAAUGGGUAAAGAAGCACCGGCUAACUACGUG
rnacentral:rRNA from 1 species